ACGAAGCUAAGCCUCACUAAUAGUUAUCAUCAAUUUUCAACUAAUCAUCAAUAGAUAAUUAAUUAAACUGUAACCAUCUUGUUCACGAUUCAGAUUGCAUCUCGAAUCUGGUUUGGUCAAUGACUCAAUAUCUAUGGACGUGUUUGAUACAUAAGUAAAACAAACAUGCCACUUUUUUUUGUGCAAACCAAACAUGCCACUCGAACCACCGAAAAACCGAUUUCAAUAAAAGGGCCAUGUAUUGGCAAUGAGGAAGAAAUAAACUAUUAAACCAGUUGGUAUGAUUUCUCAAUUCAACGUAGUUCCACGAUUAAGUAGAAUCACCUCAAAAGCUGCACGAAUCAAAAAACUAUGCAAAUUACAAAUUAGAGGUUCUCUACUUAAAGCAAUUGUGAGUAUCAUCAACCUAUUGAAAUUGAUUUUAGUCCAACCAUGAAACGGUAUGUCCCAAAAUCAACCGUGAACUUCAAGAUGGAUUUUUUUUUUUACUUUCCAACAAAGCUUUAAACAAAAAAAAAUAUCAACAUUAAUUUCAAGUUGUGAUCCAUUUUUCAAAACGGAUCAAACCGGUUCUCGUUUACCUUAUUUGUAAGUUUACGAGUUCAAGCCCUUUCAAACAAGAUGAAUGCGACUAUAAGAGAUAUCUAAACACUCAGAAGACACAUCUAACAAUUUAUGGAGACUCAUACAUCAUCUUACCAUGUAGCGGCAAUCAUAGGAUUACGAGGAUCUUCAUUUUGUUAACUUAUUAUUUUUGGAUGCAUUCACACUUUGAGAUUUAAAGGACCAACAACCAAAUUACCUGUGUUGGGUUUGUUAAAGCUUCAUGUCCAACUCUUUAUUAUCCAAUUAGUAUGAUAUUGUCCACUUCUGAUUUGAUUUCUGCCACACACCUCUCAUUCCUAACUCAUAGGAUACCAUUCAUCUCUCGAAGGGUAUUUCGGUUUUCUUGCAGAUUUCUCGUCAACAGCUCUGAUACCAAUUGUUGGGAUUGUUAAAGCCCCAUGUCCAACUCUUUAUUAUCCAAUUAGUACGAUAUUGUCCACUUUGGGCCUUAGAGGUUGGUCCGCAUGAAUUUACUUUUGGUUUCCUUCCCAAAAGGCCUCGUAUUAUUAGAGUUAGACAUCUCUUUAUAUAUUAGACACUCCUUAUCUAAUUCUCUAAUGUGGGACUUAGUUUGUUAUCUCACAACCUGGACGUCCUAGGGCAAUAUUACUUAUAUGUUAAAGCUCUUAAGACUCGAGUAAAUCAUCAAAUUCCUUUAAUUUGGCCAAAAUCCCAUUAUUUUUGUCCAAACCGUUAGUUUUAUUUACUAAGUAAUCUUUGUUUCUUGUUUUAGUUCCUUAGGUCGGGUAUCAAGCCUAUAUAAACUUAGCCUUGUUUCAAUUUGUAAGUCACUUUUUAAUCUAAGUUAAUACAUAAAUAUUUUGUUUCGAAGAAAGUUUUUUUUCAAGUUGUUCGUCUUUAGUUGUUUAAGUGAUUUGCUUAUGUCCCUAUUGACCCAUUGAUUCAAUAUUGUUUGUGUGAUUCAAGCAAAUUUGUUCACCACUUAUUGAGAGAGAGUCAGUCACACCCACUGACUGAGAGAGUCAAUCACAAGAUUCACCAUCACGUCUAUCUUCAUUCAUCUUCCCCGCAUCACUUGUUGACCACUUUGAUCACCUUUUGAGACACAAAAUUGUGGUAUGAUUACUAAUCAUGCAUCAGUAAAGUUAAACCCAAAGCGAACUUCAGAUUAUUGCAACAAUAGGGUCUUCACCUAUUUAGGUGGAUAAACGAAAGCUAAGACGAGUACACUAAAAAAAAAGAUUCUGAGCUAUUUAAUACGAAUUCCAACUGUACCAAUACCAGAGCCGUACUUUUUAGGCGGGUGAAUACCCGUUUGAAUUCGUGUCGAUGUUCAGAUUUUGGUUAAUCAUAUUUCAAAUUCGCAUAGAUUUUAAAACUCUUGGUAUAUUUUUUUAUAUUGGAUUCAAAAUUUUGAGUUUGGUAAAUAAUACUUUGGUUCAAAUAUUUUUAGAGUCAGUUAAAAAUAAACAUGAAAUUAAUUAUUGAAAGUAUUCAUUUCAAAAACACAUUUCAUGUAUUAAUUCAGAUUUUCAGAUCAGAUUUUGUUUUUUAUAAAAAAUUAGAAGUAUGGGUUUUAGAGUUUUGUUGGACACUUUUUCGGAUUUGAAUAAUACAAGAUACCCGAAAUAAUACCCUACAAAAUCCAUUAAAAUUUGGAUUCAGGUUUUUCACUUUUGAUUUCAAAUUCAGUUACAAAUGCACAUACCUAGUGCUCGUGCUUGUCCCAAGGGAUUGAGCCAGGGUGACACAUCGUAGACAUUAAAUAAACAACUUGAGAAAUCUGGUCAAGCAACAAACUCAAACCACACAGCACCCACUGGAAUCUCAUUCACUAAUGUGCAAGAAACUCUGGCUUUAGUUUCAUUCUUGUAUUGAUGUAACCCUUACAAUCAUCAAUUCUACAAACAGAUAAAAGCUUUAUUUUUGGAAUAACUGAAAAAGGUACUUGAGCAAAAGAGACUUAAGAUCCGUUUUGACGGGAUAGAGCAAGAAACACAGUAGCAGCUGAGAUUUGAACUUUGAGAUCAGCAA